rnacentral:rRNA from 1 species
CAGCAGCCGCGGUAAUACGUAGGGUGCGAGCGUUGUCCGGAAUUACUGGGCGUAAGGGGCUCGUAGGUGGUUUGUCGCGUCGUCUGUGAAAUUCCGGGGCUUAACUCCGGGCGUGCAGGCGAUACGGGCAUAACUUGAGUACUGUAGGGGUAACUGGAAUUCCUGGUGUAGCGGUGAAAUGCGCAGAUAUCAGGAGGAACACCGAUGGCGAAGGCAGGUUACUGGGCAGUUACUGACGCUGAGGAGCGAAAGCAUGGGUAGCGAACAGGAUUAGAUACCCCCGUAGUCCCUGUCUCUUAUU